GAUGAACGCUGACAGAAUGCUUAACACAUGCAAGUCAACUGUGGCGGACGGGUGAGUAACGCGUAAAGAACUUGCCUCACGGAUAGGGACAACAUUUGGAAACGAAUGCUAAUACCGGCUCCUGUGAGAGAGCUUUGCGUCCCAUUAGCUAGUUGGAGAGGUAACGGCUCACCAAGGCGCUGAUGGGUAGCCGGCCUGAGCGGGUGAUCGGCCACAAGGGGACGGAGACACGGCCCUUACUCCUACGGCAGGCAGCAGUGGGGAAUAUUGGACAAUGGACCAAAGUCUGGUCCAGCAAUUCUGUGGGCACGAUGAAGUUUUCGGAAUGUAAAGUGCUUUCAGUUGGGAAGCGAUACCAACAGAAGAAGUGACGGCUGAGUACGUGCCAGCAGCCGCGGUAAUAC
rnacentral:rRNA from 1 species